rnacentral:rRNA from 1 species
UACGGGGGGGGCAAGCGUUGUUCGGAAUUACUGGGCGUAAAGGGCGCGUAGGCGGUUCGCUAAGUUGAAUGUGAAAACUCUGGGCUUAACCCAGAGCCUGCAUUCAAUACUGGCGGGCUAGAGUUCUGGAGGGGAUAGCGGAAUUCCUGGUGUAGCGGUGAAAUGCGUAGAUAUCAGGAGGAACACCGGUGGCGAAGGCGGCUAUCUGGACAGAGUCUGACGCUGAGGCGCGAAAGCUAGGGUAGCAAACGGG